GAAUCCCAACUACCCCAGUAAAAAUACAUAAUGAAUCUACCCCAUAUUUUGAUCAAAAUUACUCCCAUUUUCUUACUAUAUAAAGACAUUUUUCAUUACCAACUUCCUUGCCUCUCUAUAUUCAUUCUUUGACAAGAGAUCCUUUUGCACCAACUUUUUAAGCUUUAAAGAAAUGGAGACAUUCUUGUUCACAUCUGAAUCUGUUAAUGAGGGACAUCCUGACAAACUCUGUGACCAAGUAUCUGAUGCUGUUCUUGAUGCAUGUCUUGCUCAGGAUCCUGAAAGCAAAGUUGCUUGUGAAACUUGUACUAAGACCAACUUGGUCAUGGUCUUUGGUGAGAUCACCACCAAAGCCAUUGUAGAUUAUGAGAAAAUCGUUCGUGAUACAUGUCGUGCGAUUGGAUUCGUAUCCGCUGAUGUGGGGUUGGAUGCUGAUAACUGCAAGGUUCUUGUGAAUAUUGAACAGCAGAGCCCUGAUAUCGCGCAAGGUGUUCAUGGUCACUUAACCAAAAAACCAGAGGAAAUUGGUGCUGGUGAUCAAGGUCACAUGUUUGGUUAUGCCACUGAUGAGACACCUGAAUUGAUGCCCCUUAGCCAUGUUUUAGCUACUAAACUUGGCGCUCGCCUUACUGAGGUUCGCAAGAAUGGAACUUGUGCGUGGCUCAGGCCUGAUGGUAAAACUCAGGUGACUGUUGAGUAUUACAAUGACAAUGGUGCUAUGGUUCCGGUUCGUGUCCAUACUGUCCUCAUCUCCACUCAACAUGAUGAGACUGUUACAAACGAUGAAAUUGCCCGUGAUCUGAAAGAGCAUGUCAUCGAACCCGUGAUACCCUAGAAGUAUCUUGAUGAGAACACAAUUUUCCACCUUAACCCUUCGGGCCGAUUUGUCAUUGGUGGACCUCAUGGUGAUGCUGGCCUCACAGGCCGAAAGAUCAUUAUCGAUACUUAUGGGGGGUGGGGUGCUCAUGGGGGUGGUGCAUUUUCAGGAAAGGAUCCUACUAAGGUUGAUAGAAGUGGUGCAUAUAUUGUAAGACAAGCUGCAAAAAGCAUUGUUGCCAAUGGUCUUGCUAGAAGGUGCAUUGUGCAGGUUUCAUACGCCAUCGGCGUGCCGGAACCACUGUCUGUGUUUGUUGAGACUUAUGGAACUGGAAAAAUACCAGAUAAGGAAAUUCUCAAGAUUGUGAAGGAGAAUUUUGAUUUUAGGCCUGGUAUGAUGUCAAUUGACUUGGAUUUAAAGAGAGGUGGCAACAACAGAUUCUUGAAAACUGCUGCUUAUGGUCAUUUUGGUAGAGAUGAUCCUGACUUUACAUGGGAAGUUGUUAAGCCUCUCAAGUGGGACAAGCCUCAAUCUUGAUUCUUAUGCAGUUGUUUCUUCUUUAAGUUUUUCAAUAUCUUAAAUUUCUUUUAUUCUUGGUUUAAGAAAUAUUGUUCUGAACUUUCUUGGGAAAGUGGAGUAUACUUGGCAUUAUUGGUUGAGGUUAUAAACUCUUGCCUUUUGUUAUAUGUUGCUGUAGGCAGUAGGCAUGCUAGAACCUUUUUUGGUCCAAAAGGUACUUGGCCACUAGCUUUCAAUUCAUUCACUAAUCAUAAACAUGUUCAAUUAA